rnacentral:rRNA from 1 species
GCACCUUUCAAGCGAGUGGCGAACGGGUGAGUAACACGUGGAUAACCUGCCUCAAGGCUGGGGAUAACAUUUGGAAACAGAUGCUAAUACCGAAUAAAACUUAGUAUCGCAUGAUAUCAAGUUAAAAGGCGCUACGGCGUCACCUAGAGAUGGAUCCGCGGUGCAUUAGUUAGUUGGUGGGGUAAAGGCUUACCAAGACAAUGAUGCAUAGCCGAGUUGAGAGACUGAUCGGCCAC